rnacentral:misc_RNA from 1 species
AAUUCUCAACCCCAUCGAUUUGUUUCGAUUGUGGGAUUGGAUUGUGGGGGGUUUGCUGGUGGACUCUUGUCUGUCGGCUCCUCUGAAAUGUAUUAGCAAAGGUUGAUGUGCGAACCAGUGUCUCGGUGUGAUAAUGAUCAUCGUGCCUGACGUGCAGUGUCCUGUGCUUACAGUCGUCGUAAGACAACGUUUUGAAC